UUGUAACUGUAAACUAGGGUUUUCACAGUGUGGUCAACGAGCUACUAGCUCGUUGACCACACUGUGAAAAUCCUAGUUUACAGUUAAAAUUUA
rnacentral:pre_miRNA from 1 species